UGGGGCUCAAAUUAAAGGGGUUUGGCCCUUUCUCUCAGACUGAGGGAUGUGAAUGUGGGGAGAAAUACACAUGUGAGGAAGAGUCUGUGUCUUCCUCACCAGGCUGUGCUCAGUCAGCAGCAGCAGCGUAGAAGAGUGCAG